rnacentral:rRNA from 1 species
UACGUAGGGGGCAAGCGUUGUCCGGAAUCAUUGGGCGUAAAGAGCGCGUAGGCGGCCCGAUAAGUCCGCUGUGAAAGUCCAGGGCUCAACCCUGGGAUGCCGGUGGAUACUGUCGGGCUCGAGUCCGGAAGAGGCGAGUGGAAUUCCUGGUGUAGCGGUGAAAUGCGCAGAUAUCAGGAGGAACACCAAUGGCGAAGGCAGCUCGCUGGGACGUGACUGACGCUGAGACGCGAAAGCGUGGGGAGCAAACAGG